GGCAGAUUAGCUUAAUUGGUCUAGAGCACCGAGACGCGUAAUCACGCAAGUGUGAGUUCGAGUCUCAUAGCUGGCC
rnacentral:tRNA from 1 species